GGAGUUCUGGCUGGUUUGUCAAGGGCAUUCUUAAUGGUUUCCUUAACCCUACUGGAGGAGGGGGAGGCGCUGGAGGGUGGAGUGCACACCUGUCCAGGUGCUCAGGAACUGCAAACACAGGCUCUGCUGGGGCUGCAGCGGAACGGAUCAACAGGUGGACUGCUCCAGAGCCUGGACGCGGUGCUGGCACUGGAGCGGCUUGCCCACGGUCCGGCUGCCCGUCCUCACAGAGCCCAUGGAGGAGCUGGUGGGGCUGCGUGAGGGCUCCUCGGGGAAGCCCGUGACUCUGCAGGAGCUGUGGGGCCCGUGUCCCCGCAUCCGGGGACGCAUCCGACGCGGCCUGGAGUGGCUGAAGGAGAAGCUCUUCCGCGUGGAUGAGGACUGGUACUUCCUGGCCAUCCUCGGGGUGCUCAUGGCCCUCAUCAGCUAUGCCAUGAACUUCGCCAUCGGCCGAGUGGUGCGAACUCACAAGUGGCUCUAUGGAGAGAUCGGGGACAGCCACCUGCUGCAGUAUCUCUCCUGGACUGUGUACCCAGUGGCCCUCCUGUCCUUCUCCUCUGGCUUCUCCCAAAGCAUCACGGCCUUCUCUGGAGGAUCUGGAAUCCCGGAGCUGAAGGCCAUUUUGUCAGGUGUGAUCUUGGAGAACUACCUGGAUAUCAAGAACUUUGGAGCCAAGGUGGCUGGUCUCUCCUGCACACUGGCCACGGGCAGCACCAUCUUCCUAGGCAAAAUGGGCUCCUUCGUGCACCUGGGUGUGAUGAUUGCGGCCUACCUGGGCAGGGUACGCACCAGGACCAUUGGGGAGUCUGAGAACAAGAGCAAGCAACAUGAAAUGCUGGUGGCAGGAGCGGCAGUGGGCUUUGCCACGGUCUUUGCAGCCCCCUUCAGCGGCGUCCUGUUCAGCAUCGAGGUCAUGUCCUCCCACUUCACCGUCUGGAAUUAUUGGAGGGGCUUCUUCGCUGCCACCUGUGGGGCCUUCACCUUCCGCCUCCUGGCAGUCUUCAACAGCGAGCAGGAGACCAUCACCUCCAUCUACAAGACCAGCUUCCCUGUGGAUGUGCCCUUUGACCUGCCUGAGAUUUUCUUCUUUGUGGUGCUGGGGGCCAUCUGCGGUGUCCUGAGCUGUGUUUACCUCUUCUGCCAGCGAACCUUCCUGGGCUUUGUCACUACCAACCGCUUCACCUCCAAGCUGCUGGCCACCAGCAAGCCUGUGUACACUGCCCUGGCUGCCCUGAUUCUGGCUUCCAUCACCUACCCACCUGGCGUGGGUCACUUCAUGGCUUCCCGGCUGUCCAUGGAGCAGCUCUUGGAUUCGCUAUUUGACAACAACUCGUGGGCAUGGAUGACCCAGAACUCAUCCCUACCUUGGACUGCCGAGCCUGACCCCCAGAACCUGUGGUUGGAAUGGUACCACCCACGGCUCACCAUCUUUGGGACGCUAGCUUUCUUCCUGGUUAUGAAGUUCUGGAUGCUCAUUCUGGCCACCACCAUCCCUGUACCUGCUGGGUAUUUUCUGCCCGUGUUUGUGUAUGGAGCUGCUAUUGGGCGCCUCUUGGGGGAGGCUCUGUCUCUGGCCUUCCCUGAGGGCAUCGUGGCUGGAGGUGUCAUUAAUCCCAUCAUGCCUGGGGGCUACGCUCUGGCAGGGGCUGCGGCCUUCUCUGGAGCGGUGACCCACUCCAUCUCCACGGCGCUGCUGGCCUUUGAGCUGACCGGCCAGAUCUUACACGCCCUGCCUGUGCUGAUGGCGGUGCUGGUGGCCAAUGCCAUUGCUCAGAGCUGCCAGGCCUCCUUUUAUGAUGGUACCAUCAUUGUCAAGAAACUGCCUUACCUGCCAUGGAUUCGGGGGCGCAAGAUCGGCUCGUACCCCACGACGGUGGGACACUUCAUGAACUGUGCCAUCACCACCCUGGCCAAGGACACCCCGCUGGAGCAGGUGGUCAAGGUGGUGACCUCCACAGAUGAGGCCCAGUAUCCCUUGGUGGAGAGCACAGAAUCUCAGAUCCUGGUGGGCACUGUGAGAAGGGCCCAGCUGGUGCAGGCCCUCCAUGCUGAGCCAGCUUGCUGGGUGGCAGGCCAACAGGUAGUGCUGUCUCCAGGACCUCUUGGCUGGGGGCUGUCCCAUGGAGCCAGUGACCCUACAGCUGUCCCCAGAGACCUCCCUGCACCAGACGCACCACCUGUUUGAGCUGUUGAACCUGCAGUUGCUCUACGUGACAUCGCGGGGCAGAGCUGUGGGCGCCGUGACCUGGGUGGAGUUAAAGAAAGCGAUUUCCACCCUGACCAACCCACCAGCCCCCAAGUGAGCCGGCCUGGUCAGUGAGAGCAGGUGCCCAGCUGCCUGGGGCUGGACAGGGCCCCUGCCUCUCCCUAGAUGCCACCACCCAUCAUUACCUGCCCCAGCCCCUCCCCACUGCACAGGGGAGCUGGCAGCUCUUCUCUAGCCCCAAAGAAGGACCCACACCCCUGUGUCCCAGCUUGGGGACAGCAGCCAUUGCCUGGAAGGACAAACCCCACCCUGGACGCAGCAAGGAGUAGGAGAUGGAGAAGAAAUGGAGGACAGUUGGCACCCAGUGCCUGGUCUCCCAUUCGUGAAUGAAGAGACUGGUACAUGCCAUUACCAAAUGUGGACAUCCAUGUUCCCAGGCAGACGCUCCUGAGAAAAAUAAAGCUGAUGCCCAGAGCUGCUGCUAGUCCCUAGCCUCUCUGCAGGCUGUUCAGGGUGCAGCAGGGGCCUCUGCGCCUCA